rnacentral:rRNA from 1 species
CGUGCCUAAUACAUGCAAGUCGAGCGAACGGACGAGAAGCUUGCUUUUCUGAUGUUAGCGGCGGACGGGUGAGUAACACGUGGAUAACCUACCUAUAAGACUGGGAUAACUUCGGGAAACCGGAGCUAAUACCGGAUAAUAUUUUGAACCGCAUGGUUCAAAAGUGAAAGACGGUCUUGCUGUCACUUAUAGAUGGAUCCGCGCUGCAUUAGCUAGUUGGUAAGGUAACGGCUUACCAAGGCAACGAUGCAUAGCCGACCUGAGAGGGUGAUCGGCCACACUGGAACUGAGACACGGUCCAGACUCCUACGGGAGGCAGCAGUAGGGAAUCUUCCGCAAUGGGCGAAAGCCUGACGGAGCAACGCCGCGUGAGUGAUGAAGGUCUUCGGAUCGUAAAACUCUGUUAUUAGGGAAGAACAUAUGUGUAAGUAACUGUGCACAUCUUGACGGUACCUAAUCAGAAAGCCACGGCUAACUACGUGCCAGCAGCCGCGGUAAUACGUAGGUGGCAAGCGUUAUCCGGAAUUAUUGGGCGUAAAGCGCGCGUAGGCGGUUUUUUAAGUCUGAUGUGAAAGCCCACGGCUCAACCGUGGAGGGUCAUUGGAAACUGGAAAACUUGAGUGCAGAAGAGGAAAGUGGAAUUCCAUGUGUAGCGGUGAAAUGCGCAGAGAUAUGGAGGAACACCAGUGGCGAAGGCGACUUUCUGGUCUGUAACUGACGCUGAUGUGCGAAAGCGUGGGGAUCAAACAGGAUUAGAUACCCUGGUAGUCCACGCCGUAAACGAUGAGUGCUAAGUGUUAGGGGGUUUCCGCCCCUUAGUGCUGCAGCUAACGCAUUAAGCACUCCGCCUGGGGAGUACGACCGCAAGGUUGAAACUCAAAGGAAUUGACGGGGACCCGCACAAGCGGUGGAGCAUGUGGUUUAAUUCGAAGCAACGCGAAGAACCUUACCAAAUCUUGACAUCCUUUGACAACUCUAGAGAUAGAGCCUUCCCCUUCGGGGGACAAAGUGACAGGUGGUGCAUGGUUGUCGUCAGCUCGUGUCGUGAGAUGUUGGGUUAAGUCCCGCAACGAGCGCAACCCUUAAGCUUAGUUGCCAUCAUUAAGUUGGGCACUCUAAGUUGACUGCCGGUGACAAACCGGAGGAAGGUGGGGAUGACGUCAAAUCAUCAUGCCCCUUAUGAUUUGGGCUACACACGUGCUACAAUGGACAAUACAAAGGGCAGCGAAACCGCGAGGUCAAGCAAAUCCCAUAAAGUUGUUCUCAGUUCGGAUUGUAGUCUGCAACUCGACUACAUGAAGCUGGAAUCGCUAGUAAUCGUAGAUCAGCAUGCUACGGUGAAUACGUUCCCGGGUCUUGUACACACCGCCCGUCACACCACGAGAGUUUGUAACACCCGAAGCCGGUGGAGUAACCUUUUAGGAGCUAGCCGUCGAAGGUGGGACAAAUGAUUGGGGUGAAGUCGUAACAAGGUAGCCGUAUCGGAAGGUGCGGCUGGAUCACCU